rnacentral:lncRNA from 1 species
UGUGUCCAAAAGCGAGGGUCGAAAUUCCUCUGAUGCAACAGAGAGGGAAUAGCCUUGGCUUUGGCCCCUCAGCCGAAGAUGGUGCGAUAACACUGGUUUCUUUUCUGGAAAUAGAAGUCUAACUGAAGCACUGGUUUCUUUUCUUUUAUAUGGAGGGUAAUAGGUAAAAAAGAAAGGCCUGACACUUGCUAUGUUCAGGUGGACAUGUCAACCACGCAUAUAUAACAUUAAGUAAAGCUUCACUGCAAACGUGAGAGUCUGUAGUAUAGAGUUCAGUAAUGAUCCGAACAAGCUAGACAGAAUGAAAUCUGGUACAUAGAACUGACCACAGUGGCAUACACUGACAAAAAGGAAAACCAUCAUCCGAGACAGCUGCAGACCCAGCAUUAUGCAACCGUUGCCCCUAUUAUCACCAUAGGUGCAAUCCUCAAUCACCAUCCCCACCCCAUCGAGCCGCCUCCACCCUCAGCCACUCGACUCAAACAUCACUACAGCUCUUCACCACCACGACAACCACACCAAACGCUGGGUCAGCCGUUGCCUCAGGUAUGCGCAUACCAAUAAUCCCGUCGAGCACCGGUGCCCCCACAUAACCCUAACCCUAACCAGCAAAGGGUGUGGUGGGUGCGUACAUAGCGCGGUAGGCGAGGGGGGGACUUGUUUUUCUUGCCGAAUCGGCACGUAUCGCCGAGUCGACGCGAGUCGAGCGUCUUCAUCUUGCAUUCUCGCUGAGUUGCACGCCACCAAAUAAAGGGAAGGAGAUUGGACGAGGAUAUGCGAGCUUACCCCUGCUAGAAGAUGGUAGGGGAGGAGGAGCACACCUUGGUCCAUUGGCCGCCUCCGUGCGGAGGAGGGGAAGCAGACUCGCUGCGUCGAGGAGGAAGGGAGGGGGGAUCUGGUCGGACGGCGCGCGCCUAGAGAUAUAUGAUGGAAUUGGGCUAGUUGUCGGGCCCAAUAAUGCUAAUAGUAGGUCGGUGUGCAAU